UUUACAGCGUUUCCUUCGGUUUCCAGCGGGGAGGAAGCAGACACAGUUUUGGCGAACCCCACAAUAAUCACUCCUCUGUAAUCUCUGCAUAUCCCAGCCACCGAUCCCUCUGUUUUCCCUUCGAUCCAAGACCCAUCGACGUUGAAUUUCAGAAUUCCAGGUUCUGGGGGCGUCCAGCGUUCUGUCUUCGCUUUGGCCUUCCAACUCCUCGAUUCAGGCGUUCCUUGCCUUCCAAAUUUGCCAGAGGACUCCUGCAAGCAUUUCCGGACCCGAUUGUGCUGAGCUUUUGUCACAGAGGGUGAAGAUGUGCUCCAUCGUCUCGGGAUGCUUUCGGCAAAUUGGACAAAGUGGGUCAGGGAUUUCGCCAUUUAACCGCACGAGGUCAUCUUCUGACCAUAGAUUUCCCAGUUCUUUACACAGGGCUGCCACCCGGGCUGCAUUAUCAUCUUUCUUUGGCAUAGUAGGUUCUGAUGUGAAACUC